CUGUCUUCGAUAAAAAACAAAACCAAUGCAAUGUGAGAAUAAGGAAAUACGCCACAGCAGCAAGUCUAAACGACCGAAGUUACCUGAAUUGUCAUCGAAAAGAGGAGACUUAUUGAAUGAGCAAGUACUCCAGAAACAGAGGGAUUCGUUGUUAAGAGGUAUUGAUCCAGGGAGUGUUAGCAAGGAUGACUUCAAGUCUGUCUGGUACCAAAGAACCAAGAGAGAGAAGAGGCAGCAGGUGCGCUCUGACGUCACAUGUGAAAAGGACGCAUCAAGCUCAGCGCAGCGGGGAGUGAGGAGUGACGAUAAUGACUUCCCUCCCAAGACUCACAGCUGGAUGCUGCGGUGACGGUGGGGCUUAUGAAACGCUACAUGAACAACGGCAGUGGCAGCAAAGUGGCAGCAGAGAUUUGAGCCUCCACCGGGAGCCUGGGCCUGAGGUCUGUUUACAGGUGAAUGCCAAACAACACAAUGUUGCAGGGUCCUUGCCUAUACCCACCUGGCCACAGCUGGAGGAAUUGCUUCAUCACACGUCAUGCCAGUCAGCCUGUCUGUCAGCUUGCGAAAGUGGACCUCAGUAUAUACAUAUGUAUGAGGACUGAAAAGUUGCAGAAGUAAAUCUGUGGAGCUUUAUCAGCACAGUGACCAUGGAAUAAUGAUACAAGAGUCUGUGAGCUGACAGAGAAGGAAGACAAAACAGCUGUUGACCGUGUGCCACAGAGAGUGCUCUCCAUCAACAGAGGAAGAAGUGAUCACAGGUUGUCCAUCUGAGACACGACGAGGCCCUAAAGAACACGACAUCCUGGUGACAGAUCCCCCAGCUGUCUCUCCGGUCCCAGUGCUGAGAGAUGACAGCUGAGUCGACGUUGUGCAAUAACUACUGCCUGCUUCAUUACAUCACUGAUGUGGUCGUGACAGGAGACAAAGCGACUGACUUUCUGCCAGUCUGCUGUAUAUUCAAGCUUACAGGCAGCAUUGAGAGGUGCAUUUACUGCUCUGCUUGCAGUGUAUUAUCAUAAACCCCCAUAUAAAUGACAUCAAAAAUACUCCUUUUGCUUCCUGAAUAAAGGAUCUUCUUAUCUAUGUAAACAAACCAAAGUUUGACUAAAGCCAGUAGGCAAUUUAAGUGGGGAUGUGGUAUUAGAAGAUACAGAAUAAAAACAGAUCGAUCCGCACACCAAACAGCUCCUGUUAGAAGGGUUUUUGUUGCUGUAAUGUUCCAGCUCUGCUAGAUAUUGCUUUGAUCCAGCAGCCAUCCUAUCGGUCUCUGGAUGUGUGUGUUUUUCUUAUCGUUUCUU